rnacentral:misc_RNA from 1 species
AGCAGCCGCGGUAAUUCCAGCUCCAAUAGCGUAUAUUAAAGUUGCUGCAGUUAAAAGCUCGUAGUUGAAUUUCGGGACUAAUAUGUCGGUCGUGCCUCGGUACGUACUGGUUUAUUGGUUUCUCCUUUCUGAAGAACCAUGAUGUCAUUUAUUUGGUGUCGUGGGGAAUCAGGACUGUUACUUUGAAAAAUUAGAGUGUUUAAAGCAGGCUCACGCUUGAAUACAUUAGCAUGGAAUAAUGAAAUAGGACGUUUGAUUCUAUUUUGUUGGUUUCUAGGAUCGACGUAAUGAUUAAUAGGGAUAGUUGGGGGCAUUAGUAUUCAAUUGUCAGAGGUGAAAUUCUUGGAUUUAUUGAAGACUAACUACUGCGAAAGCAUUUGCCAAGGAUGUUUUCAUUAAUCGAGAACGAAAGUUAGGGGAUCGAAGACGAUCAGAUACCGUCGUAGUCUUAACCAUAAACUAUGCCGACUAGGGAUCGGAUGAUGUUAAUUUUUAAUGUACUCAUUCGGCGCCUUACGGG